rnacentral:tRNA from 1 species
GUCGAUAGGGCUGCAAUUGCAGGUUACUUUGAUAUAGUAAAUUUUGAGUUUACUCCGUCGAUA